CCUUUUGUAUAAUGGGUCAGCGACUUAUAUUCUGUAGCAAGGUUAACCGAAUAGGGGAGCCGAAGGGAAACCGAGUCUUAACUGGGCGUUAAGUUGCAGGGUAUAGACCCGAAACCCGGUGAUCUAGCCAUGGGCAGGUUGAAGGUUGGGUAACACUAACUGGAGGACCGAACCGACUAAUGUUGAAAAAUUAGCGGAUGACUUGUGGCUGGGGGUGAAAGGCCAAUCAAACCGGGAGAUAGCUGGUUCUCCCCGAAAGCUAUUUAGGUAGCGCCUCGUGAAUUCAUCUCCGGGGGUAGAGCACUGUUUCGGCAAGGGGGUCAUCCCGACUUACCAACCCGAUGCAAACUGCGAAUACCGGAGAAUGUUAUCACGGGAGACACACGGCGGGUGCUAACGUCCGUCGUGAAGAGGGAAACAACCCAGACCGCCAGCUAAGGUCCCAAAGUCAUGGUUAAGUGGGAAACGAUGUGGGAAGGCCCAGACAGCCAGGAUGUUGGCUUAGAAGCAGCCAUCAUUUAAAGAAAGCGUAAUAGCUCACUGGUCGAGUCGGCCUGCGCGGAAGAUGUAACGGGGCUAAACCAUGCACCGAAGCUGCGGCAGCGACGCUGAUGCGUUGUUGGGUAGGGGAGCGUUCUGUAAGCCUGCGAAGGUGUGCUGUGAGGCAUGCUGGAGGUAUCAGAAGUGCGAAUGCUGACAUAAGUAACGAUAAAGCGGGUGAAAAGCCCGCUCGCCGGAAGACCAAGGGUUCCUGUCCAACGUUAAUCGGGGCAGGGUGAGUCGACCCCUAAGGCGAGGCCGAAAGGCGUAGUCGAUGGGAAACAGGUUAAUAUUCCUGUACUUGGUGUUACUGCGAAGGGGGGACGGAGAAGGCUAUGUUGGCCGGGCGACGGUUGUCCCGGUUUAAGCGUGUAGGCUGGUUUUCCAGGCAAAUCCGGAAAAUCAAGGCUGAGGCGUGAUGACGAGGCACUACGGUGCUGAAGCAACAAAUGCCCUGCUUCCAGGAAAAGCCUCUAAGCAUCAGGUAACAUCAAAUCGUACCCCAAACCGACACAGGUGGUCAGGUAGAGAAUACCAAGGCGCUUGAGAGAACUCGGGUGAAGGAACUAGGCAAAAUGGUGCCGUAACUUCGGGAGAAGGCACGCUGAUAUGUAGGUGAGGUCCCUCGCGGAUGGAGCUGAAAUCAGUCGAAGAUACCAGCUGGCUGCAACUGUUUAUUAAAAACACAGCACUGUGCAAACACGAAAGUGGACGUAUACGGUGUGACGCCUGCCCGGUGCCGGAAGGUUAAUUGAUGGGGUUAGCGCAAGCGAAGCUCUUGAUCGAAGCCCCGGUAAACGGCGGCCGUAACUAUAACGGUCCUAAGGUAGCGAAAUUCCUUGUCGGGUAAGUUCCGACCUGCACGAAUGGCGUAAUGAUGGCCAGGCUGUCUCCACCCGAGACUCAGUGAAAUUGAACUCGCUGUGAAGAUGCAGUGUACCCGCGGCAAGACGGAAAGACCCCGUGAACCUUUACUAUAGCUUGACACUGAACAUUGAGCCUUGAUGUGUAGGAUAGGUGGGAGGCUUAGAAGUGUGGACGCCAGUCUGCAUGGAGCCGACCUUGAAAUACCACCCUUUAAUGUUUGAUGUUCUAACGUUGACCCGUAAUCCGGGUUGCGGACAGUGUCUGGUGGGUAGUUUGACUGGGGCGGUCUCCUCCUAAAGAGUAACGGAGGAGCACGAAGGUUGGCUAAUCCUGGUCGGACAUCAGGAGGUUAGUGCAAUGGCAUAAGCCAGCUUGACUGCGAGCGUGACGGCGCGAGCAGGUGCGAAAGCAGGUCAUAGUGAUCCGGUGGUUCUGAAUGGAAGGGCCAUCGCUCAACGGAUAAAAGGUACUCCGGGGAUAACAGGCUGAUACCGCCCAAGAGUUCAUAUCGACGGCGGUGUUUGGCACCUCGAUGUCGGCUCAUCACAUCCUGGGGCUGAAGUAGGUCCCAAGGGUAUGGCUGUUCGCCAUUUAAAGUGGUACGCGAGCUGGGUUUAGAACGUCGUGAGACAGUUCGGUCCCUAUCUGCCGUGGGCGCUGGAGAACUGAGGGGGGCUGCUCCUAGUACGAGAGGACCGGAGUGGACGCAUCACUGGUGUUCGGGUUGUCAUGCCAAUGGCACUGCCCGGUAGCUAAAUGCGGAAGAGAUAAGUGCUGAAAGCAUCUAAGCACGAAACUUGCCCCGAGAUGAGUUCUCCCUGACUCCUUGAGAGUCCUGAAGGAACGUUGAAGACGACGACGUUGAUAGGCCGGGUGUGUAAGCGCAGCGAUGCGUUGAGCUAACCGGUACUAAUGAACCGUGAG
rnacentral:rRNA from 1 species